UAUUGGUCCCCACGCAACGAUAAACCGUAAACCUGGUCAGGCCUGGAAGGGAGCAGCCACAGCGGUGGAUUCGUGUGCCGAGGUGCGGCUGAUAGGG
rnacentral:SRP_RNA from 1 species